AACGAACGCUGGCGGCAUGCCUAACACAUGCAAGUCGAACGAGACCUUCGGGUCUAGUGGCGCACGGGUGCGUAACGCGUGGGAACCUGCCCUUAGGUUCGGAAUAACUCCCCGAAAGGGGUGCUAAUACCGGCUAAUGUCUUCGGACCAAAGAUUUAUCGCCUUUGGAUGGGCCCGCGUUGGAUUAGCUAGUUGGUAGGGUAAAAGCCUACCAAGGCGACGAUCCAUAGCUGGUCUGAGAGGAUGAUCAGCCACACUGGGACUGAGACACGGCCCAGACUACUACGGGAGGCAGCAGUGAGGAAUAUUGGACAAUGGGCGAAAGCCUGAUCCAGCAAUGCCGCGUGAGUGAUGAAGGCCUUAGGGUUGUAAAGCUCUUUUACCCGGGAUGAUAAUGACAGUACCGGGAGAAUAAGCGCCGGCUAACUCCGUG
rnacentral:rRNA from 1 species